GAUAAUGGCUCAGGAUGAACGCUAGCGACAGGCUUAACACAUGCAAGUCGAGGGGCAGCACAGGGUAGCAAUACUUGGGUGGCGACCGGCGCACGGGUGAGUAACGCGUAUGCAACUUACCUAUCAGAGGGGGAUAGCCCGGCGAAAGUCGGAUUAAUACCCCAUGAAACAGGGGUCCCGCAUGGGAAUAUUUGUUAAAGAUUCAUCGCUGAUAGAUAGGCAUGCGUUCCAUUAGG
rnacentral:rRNA from 1 species